CACGUAGGGCGCAAGCGUUGUCCGGAAUUAUUGGGCGUAAAGAGCUCGUAGGCGGUCUGUUACGUCUGCUGUGAAAACCCGGGGCUUAACCCUGGGCUUGCAGUGGAUACGGGCAGACUAGAGGCAGGUAGGGGAGAAUGGAAUUCCCGGUGUAGCGGUGAAAUGCGCAGAUAUCGGGAGGAACACCGGUGGCGAAGGCGGUUCUCUGGGCCUGACCUG
rnacentral:rRNA from 1 species